rnacentral:rRNA from 1 species
AUCGAACGCUGGCGGCAUGCCUUACACAUGCAAGUCGAACGGUAACAGGUCUUCGGAUGCUGACGAGUGGCGAACGGGUGAGUAAUACAUCGGAACGUGCCCGAGAGUGGGGGAUAACGAGGCGAAAGCUUUGCUAAUACCGCAUACGAUCUCAGGAUGAAAGCAGGGGACCGCAAGGCCUUGCGCUCACGGAGCGGCCGAUGGCAGAUUGGGUAGUUGGUGGGAUAAAAGCUUACCAAGCCGACGAUCUGUAGCUGGUCUGAGAGGACGACCACCCACACGGGGAGUGAGAAACGGCCCAGACUCCUACGGGAGGCAGCAGUGGGGAAUUUUGGACAAUGGGCGCAAGCCUGAUCCAGCCAUGCCGCGUGCAGGAUGAAGGCCUUCGGGUUGUAAACUGCUUUUGUACGGAACGAAAAGACUCCUUCUAAUAAAGGGGGUCCAUGACGGUACCGUAAGAAUAAGCACCGGCUAACUACGUGCCAGCAGCCGCCGUAACAC